CAGUAUGUAGUUUAUAUUAAAAUUUAGGUUUUGGGUAUCUAGGAUCUCUAUUUUGAGCGUAUUGA
rnacentral:tRNA from 1 species